CUCAAUCUGUCGCCUUAUCCGCAAAUCCCGCUGCCCUUUUAUUACUGGAAUAGAAAGACCAGUUUUGAAACACUAAGCUCAAAAUGCAAUUGAUCCGAUUUUUCUUUGUUCUUUCAAAUCAAGCACGCACAGCCACUCAUCUUGUACCUAGGCUAUGAAGCCUGCUAUUUUCUUACCAUUUCACCAAUGAAAUUUUCGAAAGGCCCAAUUAUGAAAUCAUACACCAAAACAUCAAACUCGAAUUCAUCUGAUUUUCUCUUAUGACGUUUCAUAUUAGAGCAUGCAUGGAGCUUUGUAGAAGCUUCAUCAUGAGAAUUCAUUACCCAAAGGUCAAACGCACUGACCUCUAGGUUAUAGAGUUUGCCCGAUGAGUCUUCAUUUUCACCAGCCAACCUCUCUUCACUCAGUUCUGAGUUACUCACUAAUUGAUGUCUGAGUCUUGGGCUCCUAAACGGCUAAAACGAAGCUUUUGUUUGGUUUGAUACUCGAAGAAAGGUCAGUGCACAUCGAACUUUCCUCUUCUUAACUGUUUCAAGAUUAAAGUCCUGUUCUUCUUGUUGAUUAUUCUGUUUAUAAUGUAUUACGUUUGAUCAUUAUGUUUUGACAUUAUAUAUGCUAUUCACUGACCUCUAAAGAAUUCGAAAUUAAUUCAAUCGAUCAUUUUGUAAACUUAAUGAAUGCUCUUUUACGUUAAGAAGAUAUAUGUGAUGUUAGACUUUUGUAAUUGUCUAAGAACCUCAUAUGAUCUUCUGCACCAUUCCUGAUAUUAGAUUUCAAGAUACCUUUGAUAAAGAUUCAUGUCUGCUCUACUAAUCUUGCCUUGAUACUCCCUGUUGAUCUAUAUCAUGUAGUUGAAUCACUUGUUUUGGUAAAAUAAGACUAUGGUAAUUAUAGACACUUAAGGACAAUUACAAGGCCAUCAUUGAGAUUAGUGUAUCAGUUCAAUUUUCUUCGUUCUUCAAAUAUUUCUUUAUGAUCCUGAGACUUCCUGAAAUACUGUUGAGAAGGUAUUCUGUUGACCUCCAUGACUAUGUGAUUAUCUAUAAGUAUCACUAUAUGAAAGUGCUUUUAAAGAUUAUUGAACUAAGUGCUAAUGACUUUCUACAAUUGGUCUUAUGUGUUCUGUCAGCCCAGCUUAAGCCAUGCCCUUAAUUGUUCUUAGGAGUUUAGUAUCUACUGAUUUGAGAAUUAUAUUUUUUUAUGUCAUGUUGUUGAAACUAGAACUUCACUAUGUUAGGGCUAAUAUACUUAACCUAUUUAACUAGAUUAGUUGUCCUGUUAUUAUAACCAUGCCUGCCUAACAUGAAUGUUCAUUGCUUUGAACCACCGCAAUUAAACUGUUGAGUUGGUCUUCUGGUACUUGAAACUCUGCCAUGUCUUAGAGUCUUGCAAUAUUGCAAGAAUACCUCAUGUAAUUUGUUUGGAUGUCCUUUUUAGAAUUUCUGCACUCAUUUUUGCUCAAACGGAUCUCCUACUUACUUGUACUCUCGCGUCUAUUAGAACUGUGUCUCUUCAUAACGGCGAAAGCUACAUCUUGUUAUUCAAAAAGGAUUAACCACAUAGCAAUAGGGAUAUUAAUCAAACUACAAGCACUAAAGAGUUUAAGGAAACUUCUGAUGUUCAUAUCCCUUGUUUGAAAUGCUACACUGUGUUUUGGUAAGUAUCUUAGUUUCCAAUAAGUCUAGCAUAAACUUUCACUAUCCAGAAUAAAUUAUGAUGCCCCUGUCUGUCUAACUCCAUCCUUAGUACUUAGUCUUGUUGUAAUGUCAUAGUAUUAGUUAAAAUAUAACUUGCACACAUAUGAAUGCUAUCCAUUAGGAGUUCUGGACUCAUCCUUUCCUUAAAGGAAACUGCUACUUGCAUAUCAUAUAUGUGACUGAAUUCCCAGGCCAUUAAAACUUACUAAAUUCACUGAAGUCUACCUACAGACUUGGAAAGAACCCUCUUUAGAUGUUCAUCUAUCCUAUUUGAAUGUUGAAUCUCAUGUUCAACUCUUAAUCAACCUAGAUCUGAAUGGUGAUCUCUUUUUAGAUUUUCUGCCAAUUUAUUUGCCUACCCCUGCUUUCUUAAGAAUAUUGAAGUGGUUUGUUAGAUUCCUACUUAGUAAGGAAUGGAAUGUUGGUCUGUAUACCCCAUUAAGUAUGUAUGAUUAAGCACAAGAUUAUAAGUAAUGAUCUUCCAUAAGCAUGGGCUUUCUAAUUGGAUUAUUAAAAGGCAAUGCAUCUGACACCUCCCACACUCUUUUGAACGACUUGACUUAUCAAUUUUGAGACCUCAGAUUCAUGUGAUGUUGUUCUCUCACUGUUUAUUUUCACAUAUAAGUAAUCAUGUUUGAGUGUUAUUAAGCUGGUAAGAGUAUAUGAUAAUACUAAAUGGUUGUGUGCAAACCAUGGGAUGUCUACUGAUGCUUUGAUGAGCCGGAUGUUAUUAGAACCUAUCUCUCAUUGCAUACAAUCACCACUGUAGUAUUGGUUUACAGUGAACAUCUCAUUAGUAUUUAAACCUAUAGGUAAGAGUAAGUGUGAGUAGUUAAGUGUAUUUGGGAGUACAAUUUAGUUCUUGGUUGAGAUACUCCCUCUGACACAAGCACUGCUUGGGGCCCUUAGGACCCUUGGGAACAUUGAAGUGCCAGGGAUCCGAAGAGUACCUUGGCCAUGAAUAAAAUUCUACACUUAGCCUCUAGUCUAUUGAUAUUUAUUAUCUCUUUAGGUUUAGUGUUCAAUGGAGAACAAAGGUUUUAAUUGUAAAUUGUUUUACUAUAUGUGACCUUAUACUAAUUUUGCAUCCUUAGUUACUGUUGAUUUUAUAAUUUAUCUUGGACCUAUAUUAAAUGUUACUUACAUGUAAUUAUGUGCAUUAGGCCAUAUAUCUAAUGACUUUCUCAUUCUUUUGCAUAUGUAUUUAAAAUUGGUCUCCCAAGUUCCGAAAGAACUCAGGCCCAAGUUCUGUACCUGCACAUAAUGGAGUCCAAAGUUGUUGAUGUCCGUCCUCGCCACCUGCUAGGCCUACUUUCCUUCAGGCCCAAACCAAAGUCCAUUCCUCUUCUCUACUGCUUUAUUAAGUUUAUUGUUAUUUUUACAUGUAUAUAACACUUAUAAUAUUUGAUUGAAUGCUUUACUUUAUA